UUUUUCUUUUUCCCCAGAUACACAGAAAUAGAAAAGAGCACAAUUUUUAAGGGGACAUCAUUUUCACCCCGUUAACUUUCAAAGGCACGUAAAAACAGUGGCUUCCAAAUGAGCUUCUCUAGCAGAAAGCGCUGCAGAAAGAGGGAAGAGGGGAGACCUAGUUUGCAGUGCUGCCUGCCAGUUCCUCGUUGCCUAGUAACGGUUUCCACGGCAACCACACAGUCAACGACGCUCAGCAAUCCGGAGAGAAACAGGGUGUUUUCUUCCCGAGAGAGGACUGCUAAGAGGGGGUUAAAGGGGGACGAUGUGAAGGAGAGAACCUGUGGUCCUUGAGAAGGCUAAGAAGUAAAAAAGGGGAAGCAGUGAAGAAAGGGACGGAGAUACUGGGACAGGGAGAAAAAAGUUGUGGAGAGUAGCUUUUAAGGAGUCAUUUGGUGGACAUGGAUCCAACGUGCCCUUCUGAGUGCAUUUAUAACCUCAUACCCAGUGACUUGAAGGAGCCUCCCCAGCCUCCUAGGUACAUAUCCAUUUUUAAGGCAACUGUAAAAGAUGACAUGCAAAAAGCUAAAACUGCAAUGAAAACUAUGGGACCGGCAAAAGUUGAAGUACCUUCUCCAAAGGAUUUCCUAAAGAAACAUUCGAAGGAAAAAACUCUACCACCCAAAAAAAAGUUUGAUCGGAACAUGCCCAAAAAGCCUGCUGUGCCAUUGAAGACUGAUCAUCCUGUCAUGGGAAUACAGAGUGGAAAAAAUUUUAUAAAUACAAAUGCAGCCGAUGUCAUCAUGGGAGUGGCUAAAAAGCCUAAACCAAUUUAUGUUGAUAAAAUAACUGGAGACAAGCAUGAUCUUGAGCCUUCAGGACUAGUUCCAAAGUACAUCAAUAAAAAGGAUUAUGGUGUCACACCUGAAUACAUAUGUAAGCGAAACGAGGAAAUAAAGAAAGCCCAAGAAGACUAUGAUCGUUAUAUCCAGGAAAACCUUAAGAAAGCAGCUAUGAAAAGGCUCUCCGAUGAAGAAAGGGAGGCAGUUUUGCAGGGGCUGAAAAAGAACUGGGAAGAGGUGCAUAAAGAAUUCCAGUCCCUCUCGGUCUUUAUAGAUUCUAUACCAAAGAAGAUCCGCAAGCAGAGACUGGAAGAAGAAAUGAAACAACUAGAACACGACAUUGGCAUAAUUGAAAAGCACAAGAUUAUUUAUAUUGCCAAUAAGUAAGAAUGGAUCUUUAAAGUAUAACAAUUUCAAUGUAGGGGAAAAAAACAUGGAAAAUAUAAAAAACUCCAAGUUGUUCAAAAAGGAAGAUACUAUGAAGAGAAUAAAAAUAGUCUUAAUCAGAAUCCUUAGGCAAUAUGCAAAGAAUAAUUGAGUUAUUCACUUACACAAGAAGAAAUUUUGUUUUUACUAGUGUCACGUUUUCCACAUAUAAACUAUUAAAUUUGAGAAUAUGUGUUCCAGUUCCACAAUGUAACUCAUUAUUAUUAUGUACUUGUUUCACAUAAACAUUAAUUUCUAGGUCCUGAAAAAUAAAGUCAGCACUCAGAACUUCACUUUUUUUUUUUUUCUGCACCGCAUGAUACCAACAGCACAACUUUGAAAACUAGCCUUGAGAGGGAAGCAUUCCCAUCCAUUGUUCCUGGAAAGGUGAUCCCUACCAUGGGAUCCCAACCUUGGAUAGAGCCAGUUCAACCUCCCCCAAUCCAUACACAUACAUACCUAGGUCAUCCUAUCACCCAAAAGAGGGACAAACAUCUGACUUGGACAGCUGGCCAGUGACUGAUCAGAUUCUCUCUCUCUUGAGAGCAUGAAUUAAGAGACAUGGAGACUGCAGUCACUUGGGAGUAGACACCUGAAACUAAAAAGUCAAACUUCGUUAUGCAGCUAGUUUGACUUGGUUUCUCUUCCUGUUCAAAGGAAGAAUGGGUAGAAUAAAGAUUUGAUGUGG